GUUGGUCGCAGUUUUCAAGAUGGCGUCUGUAAAUUUAUACGCGAGAAAUCGCAACGAAGACAAAAUAAUGUUAUUAACCAGGUUUUCCGAAGGAAAACACUGGUUAUUAGAUUGGCGAAUGCGGGCGGGCUGGCUGGCUGGCUGGCGGGCUGGCUGGCGGGCUGGCGGGCUGGCGGAAUAAGCUUGUCCGGGCCAUAACUAUGUCGUUCAUUGUCAGAUUUUAAAAUCAUUUGGCACAUUUGUUCACCAUCAUUGGACGGUGUGUCGCGCGAAAUAAUUACGUCAAUAUCUCCAAGGUCAAGGUCACACUUUGAGUUCAAAGGUCAAAAAUGGCCAUAAAUGAGCUUGUCCUGGCCAUAACUAUGUCAUUCAUUGUGAGAUUUUAAAAUCAUUUGGCACAUUUGUUCACCAUCAUGGGGCGGUGUGUCCCACGAAAGAAUCACGUCAAUAUCUCCAAUGUCAAGGUCGCCACGACUAAAAAUAGAUUUAAAAAAAAAAAAAAACUUACAAAGGGGGUUAAUUUUUUUUGGUCAUUUCAAAAGUUCAGUUUGAGUUGUCUCCCUUUAUCAGAUUUUUUUUUCACAAUGAAAACCUGGUUUUGUGACAAUUUUGUCCCUUGUUUUUAACUUGUUUUGACGAUGCAAAAGCUUACAUAAAAGAAAUGAAAUUGAUACGAAUAACCGUUACAUGAUGGGUUACAGCACAAAAAACUUUGGUAAUUCAGCUGUUACUUCAUCCUCCCAUAAGGUUUGUUGGGUCCAUGGGGUGAACCCUCACAUGUAUGUGAGCCUAGGACAUCAGGUUCUGAAAUGCCAACAUGGUACAGACAAGAACAAGAAGAAAAAAAAGGAGAAGG